UUUCUGACAUAAACUAAUUCUUGCCACAGAUCCUCAAGAGCUCACCAAUGGCAGCUGUUGCUGCAGCACCACAGUCUGAAGAAAUCUCCUUUCCCGACACUGAAAUGCCAAGCACAAGCACCGGGAAAGGAGACACUCAGAAGAAAAGCAUUCCAAAGGAAAUCACGCACCGGCCGCCAAAGCUAUUGCCACUAACACGACGUUUCCUUGAUGACCUCAAGGGCAUUGUGAGUGAGGGGAACCCUACGAAGAAAUACACUGUACAGCAGAUAAUUGGCCAAGGGUCUUGUGGAAGAGUUUUCCGAGGAGUUGACAUUGAUACAGGAAGACGGGU